AGUGUGUGCACCUGGGAGUUCGAAAUCAUUUGACUGUAACAUUUGCAUCUGCAAUUCUCAAGAGAAAUGGGUGUGUACUAAAAAGCAAUGCCGGUCAGAACAAGGCGAGGAUGACUGCGAAACAGAAUCAGAAGAGAUUUCUAGAGCGCCGAAUCAGCCGUGUAGGCCAGGAAUGUCGUUCAGGAGCGGCUGCAGCCGAUGCUACUGCUCACCGGAUGGUAUGUCAGUUGUGUGCAGGUCCCAGCCUUGCCACGGCGUCUCUGGAACAUUACUACCAUUGCAGUCAAACUGUGGAGAUAAAGAUGGAUGUAGAGAUAAUACACGAGAUGAUUCACAUGGAGAAAAAGGU